AGUCAAGUAAUUAAGUGCAUGUGGUGGAUGCCUUGGCAGUCAGAGGCGAUGAAAGACGUGAUAGCCUGCGAAAAGCUCCGGGGAGGCGGCAAAUAUCCUUUGAUCCGGAGAUGUCUGAAUGGGGGAACCCACCUACUUUAAGGUAGGUAUUGCAACAUGAAUACAUAGUGUUGCAAGGCGAACGAGGGGAAGUGAAACAUCUCAGUACCCUUAGGAAAAGAAAUCAAUUGAGAUUCCCUCAGUAGCGGCGAGCGAACGGGGAUCAGCCCAUUAAGUUAUGUGUGUUUUAGUGGAACGCUCUGGGAAGUGCGAACGUAGAGGGUGAUAUUCCCGUACACGAAAGGGCGCACAUAAUGAUGACGAGUAGGGCGAGGCACGUGAAACCUUGUCUGAAUAUGGGGGGACCAUCCUCCAAGGCUAAAUACUCCUGACUGACCGAUAGUGAACCAGUACCGUGAGGGAAAGGCGAAAAGAACCCCUGUGAGGGGAGUGAAAUAGAUCCUGAAACCGCAUGCAUACAAGCAGUGGGAGCACCUUCGUGGUGUGACUGCGUACCUUUUGUAUAAUGGGUCAGCGACUUAUAUUCAGUAGCAAGGUUAACCGUAUAGGGGAGCCGUAGAGAAAUCGAGUCUUAAUAGGGCGUUUAGUUGCUGGGUAUAGACCCGAAACCAGGCGAUCUAUCCAUGAGCAGGUUGAAGGUUGGGUAACACUAACUGGAGGACCGAACCCACUGUCGUUGAAAAGCCAGGGGAUGACUUGUGGAUAGGGGUGAAAGGCUAAUCAAGCCUGGUGAUAGCUGGUUCUCCCCGAAAGCUAUUUAGGUAGCGCCUCGGACGAAUACCAUAGGGGGUAGAGCACUGUUUCGGCUAGGGGGUCAUCCCGACUUACCAAACCGAUGCAAACUCCGAAUACCUAUGAGUACUAUCCGGGAGACAGACUGCGGGUGCUAACGUCCGUAGUCAAGAGGAAAACAAUCCAGACCGCCAGCUAAGGCCCCAAAAUCAUAGUUAAGUGGGAAACGAUGUGGGAAGGCAUAGACAGCUAGGAGGUUGGCUUAGAAGCAGCCACCCUUUAAAGAAAGCGUAAUAGCUCACUAGUCGAGUCGGCCUGCGCGGAAGAUGUAACGGGGCUAAAACUAUGUGCCGAAGCUGCGGAUGUAUACUUUGUAUACGUGGUAGGGGAGCGUUCUGUAAGCCGAUGAAGGUGUGUUGAGAAGCAUGCUGGAGGUAUCAGAAGUGCGAAUGCUGACGUGAGUAACGACAAAACGGGUGAAAAACCCGUUCGCCGAAAGACCAAGGGUUCCAGUCCAACGUUAAUCGGGGCUGGGUGAGUCGACCCCUAAGGCGAGGCCGAAAGGCGUAGUCGAUGGGAAAAUGGUUAAUAUUCCAUUACUUCUGUGUAAUGCGAUGAGAGGACGGAGAAGGCUAAAUCAGCCUGGCGUUGGUUGUCCAGGUGAAAGGAUGUAGGCAUGUAUCUUAGGCAAAUCCGGGGUACUCUAUGCUGAGAUCUGAUAGCAAGCUGUACUUGUACAGCGAAGUGGUUGAUGCCAUGCUUCCAGGAAAAGUCUCUAAGCUUCAGUUACACAGGAAUCGUACCCGAAACCGACACAGGUGGUCAGGUCGAGUAGACCAAGGCGCUUGAGAGAACUCUGCUGAAGGAACUAGGCAAAAUGGUACCGUAACUUCGGGAGAAGGUACGCUGUUGUUGGUGAUGGAACUUGCUUCCUGAGCUGACGACAGCCGCAGAAACCAGGCCGCUGCAACUGUUUAUUAAAAACAUAGCACUCUGCAAACACGAAAGUGGACGUAUAGGGUGUGAUGCCUGCCCGGUGCUGGAAGGUUAAUUGAUGGGGUUAGCGUAAGCGAAGCUCUUGAUCGAAGCCCCAGUAAACGGCGGCCGUAACUAUAACGGUCCUAAGGUAGCGAAAUUCCUUGUCGGGUAAGUUCCGACCUGCACGAAUGGCAUAAUGAUGGCGGCGCUGUCUCCAGCAGAGGCUCAGUGAAAUCGAAAUCGCUGUGAAGAUGCAGUGUACCCGCGGCUAGACGGAAAGACCCCGUGAACCUUUACUGCAGCUUGACACUGAACUUUGACCUUACUUGUGUAGGAUAGGUGGGAGGCUUUGAAGCUGGAACGCUAGUUCCAGUGGAGCCGUCCUUGAAAUACCACCCUGGUAAUGUUGAGGUUCUAACUCUGUCCCGUGAUCCGGGACGAGGACCGUGUCUGGUGGGUAGUUUGACUGGGGCGGUCUCCUCCUAAAGAGUAACGGAGGAGUACGAAGGUGCGCUCAGCGUGGUCGGAAAUCACGCGUAGAGUAUAAAGGCAAAAGCGCGCUUAACUGCGAGACCCACAAGUCGAGCAGGUACGAAAGUAGGUCUUAGUGAUCCGGUGGUUCUGUAUGGAAGGGCCAUCGCUCAACGGAUAAAAGGUACUCUGGGGAUAACAGGCUGAUACCGCCCAAGAGUUCAUAUCGACGGCGGUGUUUGGCACCUCGAUGUCGGCUCAUCUCAUCCUGGGGCUGAAGCAGGUCCCAAGGGUAUGGCUGUUCGCCAUUUAAAGAGGUACGCGAGCUGGGUUUAGAACGUCGUGAGACAGUUCGGUCCCUAUCUACCGUGGGCGCUGGAAAUUUGAGAGGAUCUGCUCCUAGUACGAGAGGACCAGAGUGGACGAACCUCUGGUGUACCGGUUGUGACGCCAGUCGCAUCGCCGGGUAGCUAUGUUCGGAAGGGAUAACCGCUGAAAGCAUCUAAGCGGGAAGCCUACCUCAAGAUAAGAUUUCCCUAGGACUUUAUGUCCUCUAAAGAGCCGUUCGAGACUAGGACGUUGAUAGGUUGGAUGUGGAAGCAUAGUGAUAUGUGAAGCUGACCAAUACUAAUUGCUCGUGAGGCUUGACUAU
rfam:Acinetobacter baumannii str. SDF, complete genome.